AUCUCCUAUGUGUCACAGAUUAGUAUUUAACAAAAUAAAAGACAAACUUGGCCAUCAUCCUUGUUUCCUGAUGUCAUAUAUUUUCUUAAAGUGUAAGUUAUUUUUAGGACUAAAUUCAUCCAACUCAAUCAAUAUGCCACAGAGAGGAUCCAAGGGCGUUUGAAGUUGAUCAAGUAAAAAGGCUCUUCACUAUUUAUGGUGCAUAUUAAGGAGAAGCAGAAAGCAGUUAAUCGAAACGGUAAAUUCUUUUGGUAGCAAUUAACAAUUUUAAAGAGUACAAAAUGCAACUUUAUAAUUUUAACUAGACAAUUUUAAAGAGUACAAAAUGGACGUAAAAUGUUACAAUAACCUCAAAUAAGGACCCAAAUUCAUAAAUUAGCUAUGAUCAGGGACCAAAAAUGUAUUAUAGUCUUGUAUCUAGGUUUGUGUGCUUUAUAUCCAUUUUCAUAUAUGACAGUAAAGGGGUGUUUGGCUUAGCUUUUGAGAAGCCAAAAGAUCUUUUAGAAAAAGAUAGAAGCCAAAAGAUGUUUGGCAAAACAAUUUUAAAACCUACUUUUGGAUUUUUGAUAGAAGGAAAAUCGACUUUUUGGAAAAGUCUGAAAACCUGACUUUUUGAAACUUUUCCAAAAAGGACUUUUGGCCCUUAAAAACUAAGCCAAACACCCCCUAAGUUAGUUGUAAAUGAGUUAUUAAAGUUUGAUGUAAUAUGCCAAAUUGGUUGAAAUUACGUUACUACCCUCUUCGGACCCAAGUGGUUUGCUUUUCCUAGAAUGAAUUCAACAUAUGUUGGAAAUUGUGGCUUGUAGUCAUCAAUCAAAGCUAAUGCAAGAACAUUGUUGCAUUUGUAGUAUGUAAUGAAUCACAACAUCAAGCUAAAGAAAUUGAUGAAUGCCUACUACUCUAAUAAAACUCCUGAUGAGCUAAUUUGUUUUUCAUUGUUUAACAAAAUAUAAGUACUCUUUUUUCAUUGUUUAAUAGUCCCUUUGAAAAUUAAAAGGUUAUGGGUUGUGCAAGCUUUUUUUUAGUUACUAUGAUAUGAUGUUUAAAGGACAAUAUCAUUUUCCUUUUUGAAAAUUGGAGAGCUGGUUUUUCUGUAAUGCUUCUGUUUUCAUUUUCAGAUAAAAAACAUUAAACUUUUUUUUUUGAAUAAUGGCAACUAGAGAGGCAGAGAUGAUGGAUAUCACCCAAAUUGGUUAUGAUAACAACAAGCCUCAAAAUUAUGUUAACUUUUCAAGGAAAAUUGUGGGAAAUAACAGCAUACUUUAACCGAUUUGUACAAAUUAAUUUAGUUUUUAUUCAUAAUAGCAACGUAUUUUUAGCUUUUUCUUCCAAAAACAACAAUCUUCAACUUGAAGAAAUGCUAAUAGGGCAUUUCAAGAAGAGCAUUUUCAAAUGUUUAACUCAAUGAAUUUGAAAACACAUAUGCCAAGUGCAAUUGUGUUGGUCAAUGUUUUAUGUAUGGUAUGAUAGAUUUUUUUUUACAUGUAUAGCAAUGUUCUUAUGUUUGUUUUAUGAUUUUCUUACUUGUUGGUCAUUAGUAGGUAAUUAAAGCAUGGGCAACAACUUAAGGGAUCAAGGUAAUAUAUCUAUCUGUAAUUGUGUAAUGUAAUCACUAUAAUCGGUAAAAUGGUAAAUGAUUUAGUGUUUUUAUGGAUUUCACCAUUAGAAUAUUUACCAAUAGUGUGUAGAUUUGUAUAAUUUUCAAAGGUUCAUUGAUUUAUUGAACAUAUCCAACUUCCUGGUGUUCUUCAGGAUUCGGUCACCUAAUCAAAAAAACUAAAGCAUCCAAUAGAAGAAGAAGAUUAUCGGUCAAGCAAUUGGUGUGAUGUGUUGUUAGUAAAAAUUUAAUUGUUUUGAAAACCCCAAAAAAAUAUUGUUUAGCUGUAGAUUGUUCUUCUUUGCACUUUAGGUGUUUGAUGAAAUGUCUUGAUUAAGUUAAAGAGUUGAUUUGCUUUAUUUUGAGGGUGAAAAUGUUAUCGGACUAAAUUAUGUAGAGAGAAGUACAUAAUCACAAGUCAAAUUAAAAUAUUAAACAACUUAUUGGGCUAUUAGAGACUCAAUUAGGGAAAGAUAAUUUAUUGUUUGCAUUUUUAACUCAAUUAGAAAUAGACCUGUAUUUUAGAUCUAACUAAAAGUUGCAUAUAAAGUUGUGUGAUUCUAUUUAGUUAAGUUAGGUCUCCUUCCAAUUAAUAUACACUAGGAUGAAAUUGGCGUGUUGAUUGUUGACCAACUACUGUAUAAUUUGCGUAUUUGAAACAGUUUUCCAUUGUCACUACUACAAAAAAAAAAAAAAAUUGGACUUGUGUUUAUAAUUUUUUACUGCAGGAUUUUAGAGAUUGAAAUUUGAUUUUUGGGGCAUAAGGUCAAAUGCUUAAAUCUUAAUCAAAUGAGGAUACUUCCAAGAGAUGUUGUGAUUUUUUGUGGGCUUGUUUAUGUCAUUGCCUCUCUUCCUAAUAUUCCCUUUUUAUACAUGUUCAUAUCAAUUUAUCUUUCUAAUAUAUUUGUUAAAUCUACAGAUAACUGAGAUUGUUUGGUUGCCAAAGCUAAUUAAGGAGAAGUUGAAAGAAGUUGAUCAAAAUGAUUCCAUUCAUUACUCUGAAACAAGAAAAGGUUUUAGAAACCAAAUAAAGGCACACCUUCUAUCCACUGAUUACAAGCUGACAAAACAUGGAAACGAUAUGCAGGAGUACAUAUUCUAUUCAUUACUCUGAAACAAGAAAAGGUUUUAGAAACCAAAUAAACAACUUAUGGUGGAAAAAAAAGAAAAGAAGAUGCUUCCAAGAAUCAAGGUGUACACCUUCUAUCCACUGAUUACAAGCUGACAAAAGCAUGGAAACGAUAUGCGGGAGUACAUGUAACUAUAGCUAUGAGUAUAAAACACUAUCUGUUUUUAAAGGAACAACAUGGAGUCAUAUUUGGGAUCAUGUUCAUUUUUAUACAGGAUAUAAUACACCAAAUUGUUUGAAAUUACGUUAUUACCCUCUUCAGACACAGGUAAGGGUUGACGUGGCAAUGAAGCAUAUGUUUGAAAGUGUGGCUUGUAAAAGAAGUUGAUGAAUGCAUACUCUGAGGAAAACUCCUGACUGAGGAGGUAAUUUUUUCAUUGUUUAAUAUAAUUGUAACUACUCUUGUUAUCAUGAUAACAGACUUAAACAUCUCCAAUAACAUGAGCCAAUCAAUCUUUCAUGAAU